GCCCCCCAUCCCCUCCUCCUCGCUGCGCCGCAUCCCCAUCCCCAUCCCGAUCCCGCCCAACUCGCGCCUCCUUCUCCGGUCGUCCUCCCUCCGCAUCGUGCCCCCAUCGCUCAUCUUCGAGUUGCCCCCUCCCUCUCCAUCGCGCCGCCUACCACCGAUUCCCUGCCGCAUCUGCCCGUUGCCCUCGCGCCCGGCCGCAUCUGCUGCCCAUCUCCUCCUGCCCUAGCCGCCCGCGCCUCCUCCAUCCAUGUCGGCGCCGCGGCUCUUCCCAACAUCCUCAGCCGCCUCCCCAACUCAAAAUCCCGUCUCAAUCCACCCCCAAAUCCCGGCUUCCAAUCACCCCAUCCCGUGGCGGACAUCGUUGGAGCGAGUGUUGUCGUCGUCGGAUCAUCGGGUUGACGUCUUCAAUCAUCUCCCCCUCUGCCAUCGCCAGCGGUGCCUCCCUCCACUGCCGCCGCUUCGGCGUCGUGCUCGUGCGGCCUGGGAGCGGGUGUAGCGGCGGGGUCGGUGUCGGGUGGUCGCAUGAAGCACAACAAGGAGGAAUUUUGUCAUCAGCCACUAGAUUGCUUAUGUUAAGGGCAUGGCGACCUGGAGGUGCACUGUGCCCAUGUACUUUGUCAGCCCAGUUGGCGGCGACCCAAAUCCCAGUGGUGGUGAUCCUCACAGUGAUGAAUCCUUUUGGUGCUCAUAUGGGUUGUUUACCAUCGAUGGUAUGCGAACUACCAUCAAAUUCACAAAAUAUGUGGCCACAAGUUCAGUUCUAUCAGAUACUAACUUACUCCAUGGCAACUGAAAGUCUAAAACACUCUAGGAUUUUUAAGUUCAUUAGCAUUUAGUGGUCAACUUAGAUGAACAUUGGUCAGCUCCUAAGAUUUGCUCUAUGGACCAUCUAUGUGAUCCUAAUCCAUGCAAGAAUUGGGACUAAUUAAUUGAUUGCUCCUGAACUGAUCUUCAGAAAAUACUCUACUGUUAGGUGUUAGAUUCAGAAAUGCUCUGCUUUUCUUUUUGUUGAAAUUAGUUCCGAUUUGAAGAAAUCAUGUUUGACUUUUAGUAAUUGAAUUUAGUGGCAGAGAAAUUAGAAUAGUAACCUUGUUAACUACUUUUUCUCAGAAAGUAUUUAGGCCCUUCAUCAGUGUAUUUGCAGACCUUGCUGAAACUAUCAGUCCAUACCUGCUGCAAGGAGAAAAUGUUUCUGCCUUGCUGCCGACAGAUGUUCUGUAAUUAUGCUCGACAUUGGCUGUUAGGACUUGGUUUUUGAUAUGGUAAAAAAUUUCUUCUUGUCACUAAAGUACUACUGAAUUUAACUGCAUGUUAGCUGUACACUAUCAAAUAUUAUAUCACAACAAAUGGUUUUUAUAGCUACAUGCAUUCCACAGACAUACUUACUUCAGUAGAAAUGUGCCAUGGCCAUUUCCUUUUUUUCAAAAUCUCAUGUUUGUCAUUUGGAUUGCGUCUCGAACCUUUUCAUGGUCAUGAAUUGGUAACAACCGUUGAUUAAGUUUUUGUCUGAUGCUCUUAGCUAGAACAUUUUGGACUAAUACGAGGAAAACAUAUUUGAAAAAGUUGGCAUUUUGGACAAGGGGAUAAUGAUGAACCUUUUUUUUUCUUUGUUGCAUCUUCAUUUAAAGUGUACGAAGGAAGCUAAAAACACAUUUAUGAAAACUGAGGCUUGCCUACUGAAUGAAAAAAAAGGUCCAUUCACAUUAUUCACCAAUCAGUUUAGCAAUUGGUUGUCACCCAGGAUCGUCCCCUACAGUUCAUACAGGACCCAAUAGAAAUUGAGCUUUCUGGUGACAAAUUGAGGUAUAAAAAGCAUGUAGUUAUCCUUCUUGUUAAGAUAGUAGGUAUAAGAAGCAUAUAGUUAUUUAUCUAAUUAAGAUAGUUCUGUUUCACUACCUGUAUGAUGGAUGUUGAGGUUCCACACCAACAUCCUUGAUGUUAUCAGAGAAUAAAAUAGUAAGAGGAACAUUUAUGGACUAAAGACGGAGGGCUGAAUCUUAAACUUGCAGAGAAUAGUAGCUAGGUCAAUAUACAGUAAAAAGAAUCCAAAUACUACUGGUUGUAACUUUUUUUGGAAGAAAUUAUGGCUCACGAUAUUGUUUUCAAGUUUAGGAUUCAGAGAGAUCAACACUUUAUCUUUUUAUCUUUUUAUUCAGACGGAAAGUAUGGCUUAAAAUAUUGGCUAUACAACUUUGCGAGAGAGUUAAAUUGGGUAGAUUCAGAAAGAGAAUGUAGCUACAUUAUUUUACCAUUUAUGCUCAUGAAAUUCAUCUUGUUGCUGUUCAAUGUACAAUCCAGCAGAUCAACAGCAGCGACAGUGAUGACUUGCGUCGUCCCUGAAGACUGAUGGAGAGCACAGCCUCCCCUAUGAGAAGUAGGUUGGCAUCCCUGCUGUAUUGACUAUCACCGUCCUACCUAUAGCCGCCUCACAUCUUUGCCGUUACAUUGAAGCCCUUCCACGCGUCCUACUGCCCCCAUCUAUGAGCAGAUUUGAUUUUUUUCCCUCAAAUUUACUCAUUGUGGUCGAGCUGUAUUGUUCUUCUAGAGAAAAAUUUCAUUCUAUCUGUGUUGAUAUUCUUUUCUGAAGUUCUCUUUCUAUCUACUUGGUCACACCGAACGCCCAGGGAAAGAUAAGCUCCAAUCACUUGCUGUAGCAGCCCUGCUCCACCUGGUUACUUGUUUAUGCCCACAUGUUAGUGGAAUAGCCCUUUAUCAAUUUUUUAUGUGGGCAUAUGUUAUCUUCAAAUAUGUAUUAAAGUGAUUAUAUAUAAUUGUGGAUGUUCUUAAUUAUUAUUUUUCCAGACAAUA